AGAACGAACGCUGGCGGCGUGCCUAACACAUGCAAGUCCAACGUGACAGGGGAGCAAUCCCCCGGUAGGGCGGCAAACGGGUGAGUAAUACAUGGGUGAUCUACCUUAGGGAUGGGGAUAUCCUUCCGAAAGGAGGGGCAAUACCGAAUAUUGUCCGGAACCGUGAGGGGUUUCGGGGAAAGGGAGGCCUCUGACACAAGCUUUCGCCUUAAGAUGAGCCCAUGGCCCAUCAGCUAGUUGGUAGGGUAAAGGCCUACCAAGGCUACGACGGGUCGCUGGUCUGAGAGGACGACCAGCCACACUGGCACUGAGAUACGGGCCAGACUCCUACGGGAGGCAGCAGUGAGGAAUACUGCGCAAUGGGGGAAACCCUGACGCAGCAACGCCGCGUGUGGGAAGAAGGCCUUCGGGUCGUAAACCACUUUUACUCGGGACGAAAAAGGGAUAUCAAAUAAGUAUCCCCGAUGACGGUACCGGGAGAAUAAGCCACGGCUAACUCUGUGCCAGCAGCCGCGGUAAGACAGAGGUGGCAAGCGUUGUUCGGAAUUACUGGGCGUAAAGAGUCUGUAGGUGGUUUGUCAAGUCUUUGGUGAAAGGCCGUAGCUUAACUAUGGGAAUGCCAAAGAGACUGGCAGGCUGGAGGCUGGGAGAGGGAAGCGGAAUUUCUGGUGUAGCGGUGAAAUGCGUAGAUAUCAGAAGGAAGGCCGGUGGCGAAGGCGGCUUCCUGGAACAGUCCUGAC
rnacentral:rRNA from 1 species